AGUUUCAAUUUAUUAGAAGUGCGCCUGUGUGAAAAGUUUCCCUUCUCCACUAACAGAGGCAAAAAAGGAAAGCAAAACAAAAAUAAGAAAAUAACCAGCAAGGCAGAGCAAGUGAAACGGACAGAAAAAACUUUCAUUUUCAAUGUCAAGCAACAAUAAAAACGUCUGCCGGUUGGGGGAGGCAAUUUUGUGAUGAGAGAGCCAAAAACAAAGAGCGGGAUUAAGAAAGAGAAAGGAAGAAGAUUUGAAAAGUUUUCCCAUAUCAUUAUUUAUUUUGGCGGGAGAGCGCCACACCGCUCUCUCCUUUUCCGUCACCUCACACCAUGUGGUUAUAACCAGACGCGUGGCUUUACAACAACAAUAGUCUUACAACAAUAGAUGCACAUACUGACACUCGCCGCACACUUACACUCGCACAGAUGGGCAAAAUAUUGAAAAAUUGCCAAAAUAAGAGACCAGACAUUUUUCGAAUGUCGAAAGCAAGACAUACUAUAGACACCAUAUAAAAUAAUGGGAAG
ensembl:ncRNA lncRNA:CR43973 long non-coding RNA:CR43973